CACCAGCCAUACUUCAUCUCCCACUUCUCUCGCCGGCUAAACCCUAUUCCAAGUUCCAACUCCCCAAGUCCCAACCCCAGCUCAAAAAAAAAAAAAGUCCCAACCCGGUAAAGCAGCCCCGGCCACAGCAUUGCGCCGCCGAGUCCUGAGUUGACAACGACGACGCCUAACCCUAGCCCCUCCGCCAUCGUCCAGUGGACCCUUGCCUGGCGGGCCCUCCGCCGGAAGCCGUUCUCCUCUUCAUCGCCGUCGCGCUCUGCCCGACCAGCCAGAUUGAUCCACGUCGGGACCUCCUGUUGUCGUCUCCCAAAUUAGUUGGACUGACCAGUCGCUCCUCUUCCUCCCAUCGCGCGAAGCAGGCAUGUCCCAUCAGUCAGACACAUCAUCCUGUUCAGAUGAUUCUAAAGAGACCAACACCAUCAACCCAACCGGUAUAUACACUAUGGAAGAAUUCAUUGCUGAACAAAGCAUCUUUCACAAUUUACUUGAGCGGAUCACUGUGAAGAUUCAAGACAAAAUCAAAUCUCAACAAGCUGGUACAUCUCACCGUGGGAGUAGGAGGUACAUAAAGAGAAAUCGUGAAGAGGGCCAUCAACAACUGGUGGUUGAUUACUUCUCUGAAGAUCCUACCUACACUGACAAGCAAUUCCGGACAAGAUACCGGAUGAGAAGACCCCUGUUUCUGCGUAUAGUCCAUGCCUUAGGUGAGUGGUCUACCUAUUUCACAGAAAGGAGAGAUGCCUUUAAUCGUCAAGGGCUCUCACCUCUACAGAAGUGCACAGCAGCUAUUGGUAUAUUGGCAUGUGGUUCCCCCUCAGGCGCCAUUGACAACUAUGUACAAAUUGGUUUGAGCACAGUAAUGGACUGUUUGGAGCAGUUUUUGGAAGGGGUGAUUGCUGUGUUUGGUGGAGAAUACCUGCGGAGCCCCACUAGUGUGGAUAUGCAACGUCUACUGCAAAUGGGUGAGUCCCGUGGCUUCCCUGGCAUGUUGGGAAGCAUUGGUUGUAUGCAUUGGGAGUGGAAAAAUUGCCCUGUUAAAUGGAUACGUAAACUUACUCAUAGUGAUCACGGUGCCACAAAGGUAAUUUUUGAAGCAGUUGCUUCACAAGACCUCUGGAUAUGGCAUGCUUUUUUUUGGUGUUAUUGGGUCCCACACUGACAUCACCAUGCUUAAUCAGUCACAUUUGUUCACCGAUGUCUUGAAAGGUCAAGGUCCUCAUGUGCAAUUCUCCGUCAACAGGACCCAAUACAAAAUGAGUUACUAUCUUGCUGAUGGAAUAUACCCAGAAUGGCCUGUCUUCAUUCAGACAAUACCCCUCCCUCAAACUGAAAAGGACCGAUUGUUUGCAUGACAUCACGAAGGAGCAAGAUAUGAUGUCCAGCGAGCAUUUAGACUCCUAGUUAGAGUCUCAUUUUCCCAUUGUGCGUGGCCCAACACAAUUUUUUCAGCAAGCAACUCUAGGAAAAAUCAUGCAAGCUUGCAUCAUACUUCAUAACAUGACAGUUGAGGAUGAGCAAGAUAUGGCUAGUACAUGUUUUGGCUCAGACAUAAUUUCAGAGACAUCGGUUCCUGUACCGUCAGAUAUCAACAAUGGACCUGCCGAUUGUUUUGCUGAUUUAUUAAGGAAAAAUGCUACUAUUUAUGCGAAACCAAUAUACAACCAACUCAGGAGAGAUUUGAUUGAGCAUGUUUGGCAGAGGUUUGGGCCAUUUGGUGAUAAGUAUAUAUAAAAUAUUAAUCCUGUGAAAGAUAUCAACGAUGGACCUGCCGAUUGUUUUGCUGAUUUAUUACGGACAAAUGCUACUAUUUAUGUGAAACCAAUACACAAUCUACUCAAGGGAGAUUUAAUCGAGCAUGUUUGGCAGCGGUUUGGGCCAUUUGCUGACAAGUAAUAAUGAAAUAAUUAAUCCUGUGAAAGGUACUCAGAACAGUAGCAUCCAUGGGAGGGAGUAGCAUCACAUCACCUGGACCUCACUUAUUUUUCUACCACAUUGAUUAGUUAAAAGUCAUAAUCCAUAGGGAGAGAAAAUAUGUCACACCAGAACUGCUUGGUUUGAGUCUUGUUGACGCUUAGAGAAUAAUCUUGGAGUCUGUUAGUGAGUUUAUGAACUCCGGGCAUGUUGUUUCUUGUCUUAUUGAUUAUAAUUGAGAGAGAUAUUAAAAUGCAUGCCGUGGAUGUCCUUAUAAACAAAGGAAACUUUGUUGAAUUUUCUAAUUUUUCAUAGGAUUUAGUGUUGCUGGGUUUAGAGUAAUAAUAUUCCAAGUAUGGUCGAUACUUGGGGUGUUACAGCUAUCUUAACAUUUGUCAUGGUUUGAUGUGUACUGAUACUUUUAGGUUAAAUUAUUAGGUAGUCACCAGGCUUUGGUUA